AAGAAAAUUUAAUCUUAGAAAGUAAAAAAUAUGGAUAUUUAUAAGGGAAGGCUUUUUUAUUUUAGUCAAUAAAUAAAGUUUUAAGGCUGCGUUUGGUUCGGGAAUAUCGAAUUAGGGGAUAAAAUAUUUAAUUCCAGUGUUAUGGUGUUAUUCUGGAAUAGUCAGGAAUAAAACAAAAAAAUGUUUGGUUAGUUAAAGUGUUAUUUUUGAGAAUAGCUGAAAGUGUGUUUGGUUAAUUUUAUGGAAUAACCAAGAAUAAAAAAAAAAGUGAUGAGUAUAUUUUUAAAAGGAUUAUUUGCAUACACGUCCCUACAAACAUAGUGAAUUGCGGAAAUAUCCCUGCAAAACGGAAACUCCAUAAGNACGUCCCUACAAACAUAGUGAAUUGCGGAAAUAUCCCUGCAAAACGGAAACUCCAUAAGUUGUCCCUGCAAAAGUCCUAAAUUAUGCAGAUAUGUCCCUGCCGUCCAGAUCUGUUAGAAAAUUUUCGUUAACCACGGUUAAAAUACUUAACCAUGGUUAAGUAUAGUGUAAAUUGACGUAUUUACCCUUCUUCCUCUUCCUCCUCUUCCUCUUCCUCUUCCUCGUCGCCGACGAGGAGAUGCGGCAGCGACGGUGGCGACGGUGGCGAACCCUCUUCCUUUUCCUCUUCCAUCUUCCUCUUUUCCCUUCUUCUUCCUUCUUCCUUCUUCCUCUUCCUUCUUCCUCUUCCCUCUUCUUCGUCACCGACGAGGGAGAAGAAUCUCGUCGGGGUCGGUCUCAGAGGAAAGGCGGGCGAGUUUCUGGACGAGAAGCUCGAGGGCGUUGUUGUCGACGAGGGCAGCGACGAGGGCGUGUGCGGGGUCGUCGUGGUCACCGAGGACGUCGGCGUCGGUGAGGUCGGUGAGGAGGGAGACGACGUCGCCGGCGAUGUCGGCGAUGUCGUGGCCGAGGAGGCCGACGAGGGAGGGGACGAUGUUGAGGGCGACGAGCUCCGGGUAGUG
rnacentral:lncRNA from 1 species